AGGGGGCAGGGAGGCGGCAUGUCUCGAAGGGUCCCAAGUGAACUGGUGAAAAAGCAAAAAGCAAAACAAACAAAAGGCUACCGGCUUUGACGGCAGGUGCAGCUGCUAAGGGCUGCCAGCCCCUGCCCCCACCUCUCUUCACAAGGAAGGUUUAGGACAGCAGCACCAUAGGUGGCCUCUGGGUUCUUACAGCCCUGGGGGGCUUUCAGUUAGCACCCUGUUGCCACGCCGCAGCCGCGGCCGCUGCCACUGCCACCACCACCACCACCUCCUUUUGAACAGAGAGCUCUUUUCCGUUUUCAACUUCCUUCUUCCCAGAUCAGUUGCUGAAUUCUCUGAUGCGACAACAGCUGCACAGGAUACAGUGGUCAACUGUAACAGGAGCAAUCCUGACAAACAAGUAAGGGGAGGCACUAGCGCUGGGGAUGCCAUUUCAAGCCUGAGUCAAGCAGGAGCCGGAGCCCGAGGUGAGUGGUGGUUGUUGCCACUAGGCCACCUGCACUAUAGGACACAAGCUGCUGGACAGGAUUGGCUACAUAAUUUGCAGAUCCAUUGCCAAACGAAAACAUGGGGCCCCUUGUUCAAAAAUUAUUAAGAAUUUCAAGAUAGCAACACAGAGAAUUAAACCAAGCGCAGGGCCCUUCAGUGUGAGGCCCUGUGCCACUGCACAGGCUAUGUGCCCAAGAGGCCCACCCUACUGCUGAGCAUGGAGAGUCACACAGGACCUGUGGAGCCCUACUGUCCCUGCAACGUGGCAGAGGAGGACAACUGUCUUCCCAGUGACCUGACUCCAGAGGAACGGCCAGAAUUGGAGAACAUCCCUGAAGAAAGCAGGAGCUGCAGGCUGAAGUAUAGAGACCGAAGGCUGAGAUAGAAGAAUAGCUAACGAAAUUGAGAACUGGGAUCCACAGAAGAAAGCAACACAUGUGGAGCAAUAAAGAGGUGGCCUAAUGCAGGUUCUAUAAAGGGGAUCCCGUUCAUAACAGAAUGGUUGAUUGAAGAACACUUGCGAAGACAUGUCCCAGUUCUUGUAGAAAGGUGAAGGACUCGGUCAAACAGCCACUAGGGACUCCCUGCGGGAGAGAGGAAUUUAUUAUCUAGGUUCUUCCUGCUUUUGUGGAGGUGCAUGAAUUCACUGAUCUAACCUUUACCCAGCCAGUUCAGUAAUUCCUGUGGAGCUUCUGAACGCCGAGGCGGCGCCGAAGACUGAUGGGAUGAUGGAGGCACUUGCCCAGUGACACCGUCAGU
rnacentral:lncRNA from 1 species